rnacentral:lncRNA from 1 species
UGCAUAUAAAUGUAGGAAAAAGCAAAACUUCUGCAUUUACCUUUGGUAGAGUGGAAAUUCUACAAGUAGAACUGUAUUUGACGUCAUUAAAUUACAUGGCUGAAGUUCCUGAUUAUAUAAGGACCAAUUUCUCAGUGAUAAUUGCUAAAGUGAGGAUUUUAGCACAUCUGCACAUUCACAUUUUAGAUCACAUAUUUUCUCAAAAUAGUCACUUAAUAUCUUCUGAACAUAUUUGAGGAAAUAAAACCAUAUAUGUCUAACAACAUAAUCAUUAUUUCUGAAAGAAAGUUGAAUGCUAUUGCUAGAUAUUCUUGGCUCAUGAAUUUCCUUUAUAUGAACAGACAUGUCCCCAUUACUUUUAGGCUUACUUCCUUUCUUCAUAAGCAUUGAGAAUAACCUCUAAAGAAGUACUCUAUUUUACUAUUAUAAUCCAAAUUGUUACCAGGAUUAUUUUAGCUAAAGCAAGAGAAAUGGAUUUUGAGAAGAUGAAUGUUUAAGAAAUUGAAGUUUAGAAAGAGACAGAUUAUGUUUGACAAAUUUUAAAGAUAUUUUGAAGAAGAUGAAAAGUGCUGGUGAUGUAAGACUCAAAUUGUGUAAAUUUGUUCAGCAAUUACAUAUGAAUUAACCAACCUGUCAAUAUAGAAUUGAUGCUCCUGAGAUAUUUCAAGUAAGUUUUGCAAUCCGAUUUUUAAAGUUAAUCAAAAUGUUUAGGGAAGUUAAACUGGUGAAUACAACUAUAGUUGCAAACACAUGGCAGUUAACUGAAAACUAUUUGGAUAGAGAAGAAAAUUGCUUCAUUCAUCACUUGUAAGAUCAAACAUUUCCACUUGAGUAACUCACAAUAUGUAAUAAAACAGUUUGCUUCAAUUUUUCUCUUGGAGGCCAAGUACACGCUAAUAAUACUUUUUCUCAAGUUUCUGAAAUAUCUCUCUUUUAUUUUCUUCUAAAAUCCUGUACCCUUAUCCCAAACUAAACUUUAGCUUGCUCCCAGGCCCAUUCUUACUCCUGUAUUCCCUUUCUUAAUAAACUGAACUAUGUAGUUGAGAAAAAAAAAAUGGAAAUGGAAAGUCUUCUGUAGCUAUCAUUCAGGCCUAAUGUAUAAUCAGUUGCUGAGCUGUUAAACCACUGAUCUCAUGUAUCCAUUUUUUCUGCUGCUCUAGGUAGGAUCCCAUUAUGCCAGUGGCCCCCCAGGUGAUCCUUCCUAGAUGAUUCUCUACACUGCUGCCAGAGUGAUCUUCCUGAGUUACAAAUAUGGUCAAGUUAAGUCUUGCUUGAAAAUCCUCUAGCACUCUCCAUAACUUUCAGGAUAAAACUCAUACUUUUAUGGCUUAUGGCCUAGUACCAAAAGCCAUUUAUGAUCUAGCACUUGUUAUAGAUCAGCAUUAUUUCCCAAGAUCUCAUCAUAGUCUUUAGUUUCUCUAAUUGCAUUAAGCAAUCAGAUCAAAACCUGGGAGUAUGUUAUGUUGGUGUCCUCUGUGGCUUUGCUCAUGCUCUCCCCCUUAAAGUAGAGCUACCUUUCUCCAUCAUGUAUAAUAAGCUGUCAGUAAAUUUUCCUACAAAAUUCCAACCAUGUGUCUCCUCCUCAGUGGGUUUGUCAUCUGUCCAGUUUAUUCUAGUUAGGUAGCCAGCUUAAUACUUGAACUUUUAGCUUAGAACAAAUGAAAAAAAGUAGGGAUUUUAUGACUGGUAUUUUAAAGUAAAUUUCAUUCUUAAUAUGUAUGAUCUAAUUUGUGUUACACUAUUUUUAAUGUAAUCCCCAAUGCAUAAUAGUUAAGAAUAGUGUUUAGGAGCAUGCUCUCUGGAUUCAGUCAUCUUGUGUUCAAAUCCUACCAUUUACCAGCUGUGUGAUCUGAGGAAAAUAUUUCUCUAAGCAUCAGAGUGCAAUAAGAUAACAUCACCAAAUGAUGUUUCAGAGUUCAUAUUUUUCAAAUCAUUCAUGAGUUUAUGAUGAAGAUCCUAGAAAUGCAUUUUAAAGGGAAAAGGUUUACAUGUACUUAUAGUCUAGUUCCUAAAUGAUGAGAAGUGAGGGAAUAUUGCUGUUAAAUGUUAAGUAUCUGCUACACCAGCACUACCUUGGAUAGCCAAAAUGGUAACAGGACUCAGUACAACCUAAUGAUAUGAUACUUAGUGAAGCUCCAUUCCUUGAGAACAAAUCACUGGAAAAAGGAGCAAGAGAUGGACUCUGUGGUGAGAUUCUCUUUUUGUCAUUCCUCACCUGCUCUCAUCAGGAAUAGAGCCAAUGUACUACACUGAUAUUUGCUACCUAGGGUUACUAUUUACUGUCUUAGCUUUAUCAGUGGAAAGAAUCCAAGGAAUGAAUCAAGAAUAGUUUUAUCUUCUAUGUACCUGCAUUUAAUUAAAAUACACAUAUAAUUAGAAGUUUAUUUUUGUAGAUUAAAGAGUUAUUAAAAUGGAUAUUUGAUGCAAUUUAAAGCAUAAUAUAUUCUACAGAUGAAAUAAUAUUUUGUGUUGAAUUUUUAUCACAUGAAUUUAUUUAAACUACAAAAUUCUCAAACACUGUGAAGCAUGCUGGGUUAAUUAGCAUUAGAGAGCAAAAAUAUCAUUACAUGUUAUUUAAAGUAGAGCUUUCAAACUAUUUUGGUAAGAUUUAUGUACUAGCAUAUUUUCCAGAAAUAUCAUUUAAUAGUGCUACAUGAUAUAAGUGAUAUAAGUUAAGCUGAAUCAUAAAAUAAAACACUUUAUUUUUCUUUUCAGCCUUUCUGAAAAGCACAUGGAAAAAAAGAAGCAGUAAUUUAUUUAAAUGCCUUUGUUCUUUUUAAAAUAAGUGGUAUUAUCUUUAUUAUUUUCUCAUGAAGUUCAUGUUUUUGAAUGCUCCUAGGAUGACUGUUUUUGCCUGCACUCCCCUAAGUGCUCUGUUCCUGCCUGACCUAUAAAUUUUGUAUCUUUGCUGUACUUUUUCCCCUACUUCCUCACAGCCGAAACACAACACAAAAGGUGUGGAUAAACCCUCCACCUUCACAAAAGGUGUGGGUGAACCCUUAACAAAUUAUUGUUAGUAUUGCUUUAAAAAAAAAAAAA